rnacentral:rRNA from 1 species
GCUUAGCCCUUAACAUAGACAGUAAACACACAAUACUGUCCGCCAGAGAACUACAAGUGAAAAACUAGAAACUCUAAGGACUUGGCGGUGCCCCACACCGACCUAGAGGAGCCUGUCCUAUAAUCGAUAAUCCACGCUAUACCUCACCACCCCUUGCAAUUCAACCUAUAUACCGCCGUCGUCAGCCUACCUUAUGAAAGAAGCAAAGUAGACAAAAUAGUCAACAACUAAAACGUCAGGUCAAGGUGUAGUUUAUGGGCUGGGAGAGAUGGGCUACACUUUCUACUACAGAAUACACGAACAGCACAAUGAAAUACGUGCUUGAAGGCGGAUUUAGCAGUAAGACAAACAAGAAAAUUUAUCUGAAACCCGCUCUGGGACGCGC